rnacentral:rRNA from 1 species
AUUGAACGCUGGCGGCAUGCCUUACACAUGCAAGUCGAACGGCAGCACGGGAGCAAUCCUGGUGGCGAGUGGCGAACGGGUGAGUAAUAUAUCGGAACGUGCCCAGUCGUGGGGGAUAACGCAGCGAAAGCUGUGCUAAUACCGCAUACGAUCUAUGGAUGAAAGCGGGGGAUCGCAAGACCUCGCGCGAUUGGAGCGGCCGAUAUCAGAUUAGGUAGUUGGUGGGGUAAAGGCUCACCAAGCCGACGAUCUGUAGCUGGUCUGAGAGGACGACCAGCCCCACGGGAACUGAGACACGGUCCAGACUCCUACGGGAGGCAGCAGUGGGGAAUUUUGGACAAUGGGCGCAAGCCUGAUCCAGCAAUGCCGCGUGCAGGAUGAAGGCCUUCGGGUUGUAAACUGCUUUUGUACGGAGCGAAAUCUUCUGGGUUAAUACCUCGGGAGGAUGACGGUACCUGAAGAAUAAGCACCGGCUAACUACGUGCCAGCCGCCGCCGUAA